AUGCAGCCGUCGGGUGAAGAGAAUGGGGGCCCAACACCACCACUAAGCCCGAGUGCUACAACCACGGGUAGGGUGAACUCACUCGUCUCUUCCGCCGCCGCCGCCCAAAUGAAAGAGAGUGAGGACGGCGACCGCCGCCGCCGCAGCCCCCAAACCCACGCGAGUGAGGAGGCCGUCGGGUCAUCCCCAGGUUCUGGCGAGCCAGGAGGAAGCCAGAGUGGCUCGCCCCCGCCCCCGCCCCCGUUCCCAGAUCCGCGCCACUGGCGAGGGCGCUGGAGUGAUCUGCCUCCCGGCGGCGCUGGCCUCGCCGGUCGAAGACGACGACCUCCUGAGGGAGAUCCUCCUCCGUCUUCCGCGGCAGCCCUCCUCGCUCCUCCGGGCCUCCGCCGUCUGCAAGCAGUGGCGAUGCGCCGCCACGGACCCCAAGUUCCUCCACCGCUUCCGCCUCCAUCACCGGAAGCCGCCCCUCCUCGGCGUCUUCCACCAAGGCAAGGAUGA
rnacentral:rRNA from 1 species